rnacentral:rRNA from 1 species
AUACAUGCAAGUCGAGCGGUCCUUCGGGACAGCGGCGAACGGGUUAGUAACGCGUGGGAACGUGCCCUUUAGUACGGAAUAGCCAUUGGAAACGAUGAUUAAUACCGUAUACGCCCCAAGGGGGAAAGAUUUAUCGCUAAAGGAUCGGCCCGCGUUAGAUUAGGUAGUUGGUAGGGUAAUGGCCUACCAAGCCGACGAUCUAUAGCUGGUUUGAGAGGAUGAUCAGCAACACUGGGACUGAGACACGGCCCAGACUUCUACGGAAGGCAGCAGUAGGGAAUCUUGGACAAUGGGCGAAAGCCUGAUCCAGCCAUGCCGCGUGAGUGAUGAAGGCCCUAGGGUUGUAAAGCUCUUUCGCCAGGGAAGAUAAUGACGGUACCUGGUAAAGAAACCCCGG